rnacentral:misc_RNA from 1 species
GUUGACGUGACGUGGUUCUGUACAGUGUGCAGUUAAAUUUUCGUUGUACUUAUUCUGACACUUACUAGUCAUUUUCAACGCCGAUAAUGAGAAUCAAAGUGAGAAUGAGUGUCAUAUAACUAAAGUGUAUAAAUGAAAGCAAUAUGUAAAUAAUAGUACAAGAUGUUCCCAGAUCAAAGCAAGCGUUUGCAAACAAGUUUUAACUAAAUUUCGCAGUAGAGACAAACUGAAGUGCACUAAUUUGAAAACUAAACAAUUUUAAUGAGUGAAAAAGUGAUUAAAGCGCGUAGCCCAAAAUUAUUUAACAAAUAUAACCUCUAAAACGGCUGUGACGUCUAUAAGCAACGGCAGACGUCUAAAGGAGGCCUUGGCUGAGGAGGUGAAGGUGCU